UUUUAAAUUCUACAGCAGUUAUUUUCAGAUUAUCGAUGUUCCAGAAUAUAUUCUUCAAAACAAAUACAUCAUAACUGUUGAAAUAUUAGGAAAAAAAUAUUUCGAUUAUAUACAAUGGUUUAGAUAAAAAAAAAUAUGUAAAUCUGUAAUAAAUAAAUAAAUAAUAUUAUGAAAAGACCACAUUUAAAAGUAACAGCGUACAUUUCACCACUUUAAAAUCAGGGCGACGACAUAAAUAUUGUAAUAGGCUUAUGAUAUUUACAAAUAGCAUUGUACUAAUGACUGUGGACACAUUGCCUUGUAAUGGUUUCAAACUUGUUAAGAUAUUGACUAUAUUCUUAGACAAUAACACUGAAUAUAAAACAUUUCAAAAAUAUAAUUAGGGCCUAAACAUAUUAUAUGGCCUUAACGAAAAAUAAUAAAAUAUUCUCAUCAUAUUUCAUUAAAUUGGUCAACAAUAGUGCAUAUAUAUUAUAUGGACGAAAUAUACAUAUAUACUUUAUAUUUUACAACAAAACCUAUAAACUUUGGUCUAGACGUUCCCAAUAAUGAUAGACGGCCUGAACUCUGACCUACGAUGUCGCAGCUGUGGGCAGUUUAGACCUAUAGCUCGUGGUCACGUCACAAGUCAUGACUUCGGACCGGUGACGUGGUUAAGAGCCAUUGGUCUAAACUGUCCACAUUUAACGAUGUCACAGGUCAGUGUUCAGGCCUUCCAUAAUGGUAUAUUUUGGAAGGUAGGAUAGAUAAAAUUUUUAGUAGCAAAAAAUUUGAAACAAACAAAUAAAAAACUUUUUCAAAUACAAAGCUUCUCUAAGGGAAACAAGCUGCUAAUUACUGUCAUUUAUCUGAAAAUGUCAGGGUU